GACGAACGCUGGCGGCGUGCUUAACACAUGCAAGUCGAACGGAGAGGCCCGGCUUUUGUGGGGUGCUCGAUUGGCGAACGGGGGAGUAACACGUGAGUAACCUGCACUUGACUGUGGGAUAACUUUAGGGAACUGGGGCUAAUACCGGAUAGGAGCUCCUGCUGCAUGGUGGGGGUUGGAAAGUUUCGGCGGUGGGGGAUGGACUCGCGGGUUAUCAGCUUGUUGGUGGGGUAGUGGAUUACCAAGGCUUCGACGGGUAGCCGGCCUGAGAGGGUGACCGGCCACAUGGGGACUGAGAUACGGCCCAGAAUCCUACGGGAGGCAGCAGUGGGGAAUAUUGCACAAUGGGCGGAAGCCUGAUGCAGCAACGCCGCGUGCGGGAUGACGGCCUUCGGGUUGUAAACCGCUUUCGACUGUGACGAAGAGUGAGUGACGGUAAUGGGUAAAGAAGCACCGGCUAACUACGUG
rnacentral:rRNA from 1 species